GAUGAAGAACGCAGUGAAAUGCGAUAAGUAAUGUGAAUUGCAGAAUUCAGUGAAUCAUCGAAUCUUUGAACGCACAUUGCGCCCACUAGUAUUCUGGUGGGCAUGCCUGUUCGAGCGUCAUUUCAACCCUCAAGCCUGGCUUGGUGUUGGGGCCCUGCGCCUGCAGGCCCUUAAAUCCAGUGGCGGACACGCUAGGUCUCCGAGCGCAGUAGUUUCUUCUCGCUUCGGGCGUCCGGCGUGGGCUUGCCUUGCACCAUUUUUCUAAGGUUGACCUCGGAUCAGGUAGGAAUACCCGCUGAACUUAAGCAUAUCAAUAAGCGGAGGA
rnacentral:misc_RNA from 1 species